rnacentral:rRNA from 1 species
UACGUAGGGUGCAAGCGUUAAUCGGAAUUACUGGGCGUAAAGGGCUCGUAGGUGGCCAACUAAGUCAGACGUGAAAUCCCUCGGCUUAACCGGGGAACUGCGUCUGAUACUGGAUGGCUAGAGAUUGGGAGAGGGAUGCGGAAUUCCUGGUGUAGCGGUGGAAUGCGCAGAUAUCAGGAGGAACACCGAUGGCGAAGGCAGAUCUCUGGGCCGUAACUGACGCUGAGGAGCGAAAGCAUGGGGAGCGAACAGG